GAUGAACGCUGGCGGCGUGCCUAAUACAUGCAAGUCGAGCGAACGGACGAGAAGCUUGCUUUUCUGAUGUUAGCGGCGGACGGGUGAGUAACACGUGGAUAACCUACCUAUAAGACUGGGAUAACUUCGGGAAACCGGAGCAAAUACCGGAUAAUAUUUUGAACCGCAUGGUUCAAAAGUGAAAGACGGUCUUGCUGUCACUUAUAGAUGGAUCCGCGCUGCAUUAGCUAGUUGGUAAGGUAACGGCUUACCAAGGCAACGAUGCAUAGCCGACCUGAGAGGGUGAUCGGCCACACUGGAACUGAGACACGGUCCAGACUCCUACGGGAGGCAGCAGUAGGGAAUCUUCCGCAAUGGGCGAAAGCCUGACGGAGCAACGCCGCGUGAGUGAUGAAGGUCUUCGGAUCGUAAAACUCUGUUAUUAGGGAAGAACAUAUGUGUAAGUAACUGUGCACAUCUUGACGGUACCUAAUCAGAAAGCCACGGCUAACUACGUG
rnacentral:rRNA from 1 species